rnacentral:sRNA from 1 species
GAAUCCAUGUGCCUGGCUUGAGAAACGGACGGAAGGGAUA